UACAGAGGGGGCAAGCGUUGUCCGGAAUCAUUGGGCGUAAAGCGCGCGUAGGCGGUCAGGUAAGUCCGGUGUGAAAGUCAAAGGCUCAACCUUUGAAUGCCGCUGGAUACUGCCUGACUUGAGUCCGGAAGGGGCGAGUGGAAUUCCUGGUGUAGCGGUGAAAUGCGCAGAUAUCAGGAGGAACACCAAUGGCGAAGGCAGCUCGCUGGAACGGUACUGACGCUGAGGCGCGAAAGCCAGGGGAGCAAACGGG
rnacentral:rRNA from 1 species